rnacentral:lncRNA from 1 species
CGGGCCCCUGCUCGACCACUACACGAAUCGGGUAAGUUAUAAUUUUCCAUCGUUGAAUGCAAUGCCAUACCACUUGACUUAAAUUGUCGACGGUUUGCAAUAAUAUCCCCUAGCCCUGAGCUAACCUUCUAUUUAGUGACCCUGAGCUAACCUUCUAUUUAGUGACUGUUAUUUAUCUAGCAUUCUAACAAACUACUAGCUAGCCAAGACCAAGAUGGAAGAACU